UCAGACACCAAAAAUAUCUAACGCAGUAUUCUUUGAAUAUAUAGGUGUCAUAUUUUUUAUUUUUUUUUUUAAACAAGACAAUGUAAAGACAAACAUUUAGGGGGAUUGGAAUAUUAUUACACCAUUUGGGAUUACAAAUAAUUGGGUGAAUCCUUUGCAAGCAUAUAGUGAUACCGGAAUUUUCGAAAGUGUCAGAGAAAGUUAUAAACCAUUGUGAUCCUUAAUAUCAACAACUGAAAAUUAAAAAUGGAAACAUAAUACAGUCAAUACGCAAAUUUAAUCAUCAUCAUUCUAGUCUUCAAAUAUUUUUUCGGUAUUUUCACAAAGAUGCGGAUGUUUACUACUUGGAACACUUUCAUAAUGAUCACUUUCGGACGCUGAUGAAUUGCCUUUCUUGUACUUAAGCGAACCCACUAAAUUGGUCAGUGAGUAAUUACAAGUAACUCAGAAUACAAUAGCUAAAGUACCGCUUUGGAAUAGCGCCAAACCACAACCGACAAAAGCUGCACUUUCGUUUGCCAUUGCUGUGAAGUGCACGAGUUUUUGCCAGACAGCGUUGGAAUUCUUUUAAGACAAUUCGUUUGCCAGAGCAUUGCCUUAAUCAACAAAUUGAUAUUCGGGCCACCUAUUUAAUGUAAUUUUCACAUCAUCUACUACUACUUUUGGCUUUAUUAAUCCACCCCAUAUAUAAAAAUUUUGACCAGAGCCUGGAAACCGUUCAGUACCAUGGCAAGCAUCGUGCUCCAUAUUACAACGUUUUGAAUGGAUUCCGGCUAUAUAUGCUAACUCGUCAUCUCUGAUUAUUUCACGCAUGCGAGUGGCUUUUGGAAAAACUCCACCGCCUUGAUUUCCAAAUUCUUGUUCACCCCCAGCUAAUCUGUUCAUUUUGCGUAUCACAAUAAUAAUUAGCAUCGGUGAAAAUGCAAGAUCCUAUCGAAAUACCGACUAAAUAAAAGCGAAAAUAUUGAAUAUUAAACAUUAUAUAGAUAUGAAUAUAUUUAUAGAUAUGAAUUAAUUGUGUAAAUUUCCUUCAAAUUUUUUUAAUAAAAUUUGUAAAAAAUCUGAGUGAUUUUUGA